GAUGAACGCUGGCGGCGUGCCUAAUACAUGCAAGUCGAGCGAACAGACGAGGAGCUUGCUCCUCUGACGUUAGCGGCGGACGGGUGAGUAACACGUGGAUAACCUACCUAUAAGACUGGGAUAACUUCGGGAAACCGGAGCUAAUACCGGAUAAUAUAUUGAACCGCAUGGUUCAAUAGUGAAAGACGGUUUUGCUGUCACUUAUAGAUGGAUCCGCGCCGCAUUAGCUAGUUGGUAAGGUAACGGCUUACCAAGGCAACGAUGCGUAGCCGACCUGAGAGGGUGAUCAGCCACACUGGAACUGAGACACGGUCCAGACUCCUACGGGAGGCAGCAGUAGGGAAUCUUCCGCAAUGGGCGAAAGCCUGACGGAGCAACGCCGCGUGAGUGAUGAAGGUCUUCGGAUCGUAAAACUCUGUUAUUAGGGAAGAACAAAUGUGUAAGUAACUAUGCACGUCUUGACGGUACCUGAUCAGAAAGCCACGGCUAACUACGUG
rnacentral:rRNA from 1 species